CCACUAAUGAAGCACAAAGAACUCUCUAAUUUUAGAGUGAUGUAGUAAGGAAAGGUUUCCACAGCGUUACAGGAGACUAUCCUUGAAAGAGCACCGCCAAAUCUGGUCAAUGUAAAGAUAGCUUUUUAGCAGGAGACACUCCUUGAAGGGGCACCCUCAAAUCUGGCCAUUAAAGAAAGAAGUUCAGCAGAACCAGAAUUUUGCCACAGAUAUACUUUCGGAGUGCGAGCCACUGUUCAGUGCUUUCCUGCUUGGCUUGCUUCAUCCAGUGCCUGUGCUGGUACUGUGACACAAGAAGAGCCUCUUGUCAUCCAUUAAAUGCUGCCUGGCAAAUACUCUACGACUUUCUUCACCAUGACAUUUCCAGCCCUUUACAGCUCUCACAAAGGUAGGCUGAGGUCUACCAUCUGAGCCCUUACUACUGCAAUCUGUUGCCCUGGACUCUGCCAUCCCUGCUGCUGGUUCUGCUGAGGCUCCAGAACCUGGUCAACUCAUUUUAGCCUUGAAUACAGUUUUAAUCUCCUUACAAUUAGCAGUUUUUAUCAGUAAGACUUGCAGUCAGUUGGUAAGACUUGAGAUCCUAUUUCAAUCCUGUCUGUUGCUCAGUGGCUUUAACUUAUGAGUGCCUUGGGUUUUAAUUUAGUGGUUUAGAGUGUUUUUUUGUUUUUGAAGUUUUUUUGUUGUUUUUUCUUGGGGGUGCUGGGGAGGUUGAAAUUUCCUUGUUUAUUAAUGAGGUUAAGAAAUGGUUAGGUGCACAAGAAUCCCUCUCUCAACCAAGUAUAUUUUUAAUCAUUUUCUUUG